GGACGAACGCUGGCGGCGUGCCUAACACAUGCAAGUCGAGCGAGGAGAUUCCUCGGGAUGAUCCUAGCGGCGGACGGGUGAGUAACACGUGGGCAACCUGCCUCAUAGAGAGGAAUAGCCUUCCGAAAGGGAGAUUAAUACCUCAUAACAUUGCAGUUUCGCAUGGAACAGCAAUUAAAGGAGCAAUCCGCUAUGAGAUGGGCCCGCGGCGCAUUAGCUAGUUGGUGAGGUAACGGCUCACCAAGGCGACGAUGCGUAGCCGACCUGAGAGGGUGAUCGGCCACAUUGGGACUGAGACACGGCCCAGACUCCUACGGGAGGCAGCAGUGGGGAAUAUUGCACAAUGGGGGAAACCCUGAUGCCAGCAACGCCGCGUGAGUGGUGACGGCCUUCGGGUUGUAAAGCUCUGUCUUCAGGGACGAUAAUGACGGUACCUGAGGAGGAAGCCACGGCUAACUACGUGCCAGCCGCUGC
rnacentral:rRNA from 1 species